ensembl:snoRNA
GAGCAGUGAUAAAAAAUGCAUUAUCACUGACCUUUAUAACUGUUAAGUUUUCUACACUUGAUCUGAGCUCA